GAACACGAGGCCGACGUGUUCAACUUCCAAGAAGACAUGCUGGCCUAUUGGAGAUCACACGUGGAUAUCCCUCGUAGCUGCUGUCUGGAGUUUCGAGCUCAAUUUUUGGAUGUUGCGAACGUGGAUCCAUUUUAUAUAAUAAUGAAGAUACGUGACCAUAGCGUCAGCCUGUAUGGCAACAUAUCGGAGUAGCCACAUUCAACCCGACACGAUUGCCAUGGUGCCCACACACUGCUACUCAACAAAUUACAGCCCGGAUUCUAUCCAGUGAUUGGACUUUGUUGCUGCUUCGGAAAGGAUUGCCA